rnacentral:sRNA from 1 species
UGCACUGUGGUAUCAAGGGCUGCACGAAU